GAGGGUAUAGCUCAAGUGGUAGAGCAUAUGCUUAGCAUGCAUGAGGUUCUGGGUUCAAUCCCCAGCACCUCCU
rnacentral:tRNA from 1 species